UACGUAGGGUGCAAGCGUUGUCCGGAAUUAUUGGGCGUAAAGAGCUCGUAGGCGGUCUGUCACGUCGGGCGUGAAAUCCAGGCUUAACCCUGGACCUGCGUUCGAUACGGGCAGACUAGAGUUCGGUAGGGGAGACGUGGAAUUCCUGGUGUAGCGGUGAAAUGCGCAGAUAUCAGGAGGAACACCUAUUGCGAAGGCAGCUCGCUGGGACGUAACUGACGCUGAGACGCGAAGCGUGGGGAGCAAACAGG
rnacentral:rRNA from 1 species